ensembl:lncRNA
ACUGUAUAUAGUCAUGUGUCAUGUCCAUAAUAUGCCCUUCCUGUUGAGCCGGGGGUGUGACAUGGUUGAUUGUCCUAGGAUGAUACAUUUAAUGACACUCACACAUAACUGAAGGCACAGACUCGACUUAAUCAUCUCUCAGUCUUCAUAUUUUCAAGCUGGUGGUGCCUGAUAAAAUUCUUGAUAAUUUUUUUAGACAACUAUCCAUGCACAGGUCAGUGAAUUACAUUUUUAGGCAUGAAAGAAAUUUUCUAACAUACCAAAAAUAUGUGGUAAUAUAAAAAAAACCUUCAUGUGUCAGCAGCUAAUGAACUUCUGUCCUCUGAGGCGUGCAGUGAGUGUAGCCAUCAGACUCUCUGCUAAUAGUCAGCAAUCGUCCUCCAUUAGGUUUUCCCAGCCUGACAUAACAAAUAUUUUCAUGCUUCUUCCAUCAGGAUGUCAACCACAGCACAGCACUGAGACGUUGCUAGGUAAAGUUACAGACAUUUACAUAAAUACAGAGCGCAUUUAUACAAAUACUGGUAGAUGAAGUCUCUGGCCGUAUUUUUACAGCAGAGUAUGAGAGUCGACCCAAAAGCAGAUUCAGACGGUGGCACUGUACUUGAUCAAAAUAACAAAGCUUUAUUUACAGAUUGCACUUGAAGCUUUGAACAUAAAGCGUGAGCUACAGGGGGUUCGAAGAUGGGGUCAUGGUCCAAGGGACGAUAGUCAGAGUCAGUAUUAACCAUGUUUAUGAUUUCAGUCUCCUGUUCAGGAGACAGAAGAUGUUCCCGACCACCUCGUGUUGGUAAGUUUUCAGCUCUGCAAUACAAAAAGUAUACUGUAAAAUACUGUGAAUAGGCCUACUAUGUAGGAAUACAAAGUAGGUAUACAUUUCCCAAAUACAUGAAACAUACUUUGCAGUAUUUUCACAGCCUACAGAACAGUCCACAGGCAGUACUGUGCUACAGUAAUGCACUCAUUGAGUACAGUGAGAUUUCUUACAUAUUCUCAUUUCGGAAAGUCCGGAUGAUGGAUGCUACAGUGUACCUGCUCAGAUUUGGCUGUACUCUUUGCCCAGCCACCCUCAUUGUUACACCAUGGUUGACCACAUGGUGAACAAAAAUUGCUUUGAUCUCAUCGUAGAUUACAUUCCUUGUCCUCCCCAUCC